AUUCCUUUGUGUCUCCCUAUUAGCUUCAGCCCAAUCAUAACUGCUUAUGGAAGUGGAAGAAGUGAGGAUGUUCUUUGCACAACAGGUCAGAAUAUCCUGAAUUGGAAGAGACCCUCAAGGAUGAUAGAGUCCACCUCCUGACACGUACUCCAUCUCAAGUUGAAAGCUCAGCUCAAUAAACAAGUUGCAGUUUUGCUCAGUACAUUGCUGUGCUAUUGCUGCAAAGGUCCCACCUGCCCCAAUUUGCUAUACAGAAAGGCUACAUCAUGGGAGCGAUGACUACAAGCAACUUGGCGUGCUUUCCGUUUCAGCAAGAGGGCUGUUCCUGUCUCUGCCACUUCAUUGUGCCCUCCCAUUGAGAAGGUUAAGUACUUCUCUCUCCACUAAAUCUUGCAGAGUACACAAACGGUAGAGCAAUCUUAAGUGAGCUACAUAAUGCGAGGUUUGCAGCAGUAAUUGCAAUGCAUGCAUGAAGAGUCAAAGAGGGUGCUUAGGGAAUAUUCUUCAAUGAAAAGAUGUGUUAGCUCCAAUUUCCCUGGCUAAUAUAGCUCCCAGUGCUACUUUUGUAAAACAGCCCAUCCAUGGCAGCCAGAUCCGGAGAGGGUGUCUGCAGUCUGAGACUGUAGGAAACAGGCUUCAGGGAGCUGAUCCCAGAAGACCUCCUGCUAUGUGUGGUACUAUCAUCAUUUAUAUAAACAUCAGCCUCUCAGAGCCUGACCUAUAAUGUUCUUAGUGGCACAGCAGCAAGAUACCUUUUAGCAGCCACUCAUGAAAUAAUUGGUCUGACCUACAUGAGGAUUUGUCAAGAGAGAUAGUUCAUAUCUGAUUUCAAUGGCUCAGCGAGUGUUUUAAGCUUUGAAUCACACCAAAAGUUAGAAAACAACAUAAACUAUGUAUUUUGCACGUAUGUUAAAAAUGAUCCACACAUUCUGGUCAGUAUGACUUUGGCACAAACUUCAAAUGUGGGUAGAACAGUCUGCACAUAAAACAAAUUCCUACAAGAAA
rnacentral:lncRNA from 1 species